rnacentral:rRNA from 1 species
GAUGAACGCUGGCGGCGUGCCUAAUACAUGCAAGUCGAGCGAACAGACGAGGAGCUUGCUCCUCUGACGUUAGCGGCGGACGGGUGAGUAACACGUGGAUAACCUACCUAUAAGACUGGGAUAACUUCGGGAAACCGGAGCUAAUACCGGAUAAUAUAUUGAACCGCAUGGUUCAAUAGUGAAAGACGGUUUUGCUGUCACUUAUAGAUGGAUCCGCGCCGCAUUAGCUAGUUGGUAAGGUAACGGCUUACCAAGGCGACGAUGCGUAGCCGACCUGAGAGGGUGAUCGGCCACACUGGAACUGAGACACGGUCCAGACUCCUACGGGAGGCAGCAGUAGGGAAUCUUCCGCAAUGGGCGAAAGCUUGACGGAGCAACGCCGCAUGAGUGAUGAAGGUCUUCGGAUCGUAAAACUCUGUUAUUAGGGAAGAACAAAUGUGUAAGUAACUAUGCACGUCUUGACGGUACCUAAUCAGAAAGCCACGGCUAACUACGUG